AAACAAAUGGUCAAAGGUUUCGAGAGCUUGGUCCACACUCCUGACCAGGAGGGGGCAGUAGUGCAUUAUUAGUACGUGUUUGACAACAGCUAGAGCGUUUGCUGCUGCGCAUGCGCAGUCCGUUUGUUGUGAUGCACUGUUUGGCGGUUCAGUCGCAGAUGAAUGAAUGAAUGUCUGUGUCUCUUGUCCUUCACUACAAAUGUCCUAAAUCCAACAGUCCGUCCUCUGCGCUAACCUGUUAGCCCGUGUUAGCCUGCAGUAGUCAUUAGCCUCUCCUGCUAACAGAUGCUAACGGCAGGCUAACGAACAUGGCGCACUGGAGCACUUUCGAAAAGGAGACAGAGAGAGAGACGAAAAGACUGGUCUCAUGUCUCACUGGAAUCCAGGACGAGGACGAGCAGAACUUUCAGCUGGCGCUGAAGUUCACCUGUUCAAACUUCAGAUUUCAUCGUUACCUGGACGCGGACAGUCAUAAAGUCCAACGCAGCAUCAGAGGGAUCUAUGAGAAGCUUAUGGUUCACUCUGACCUGAGUAAAGCAGAAAGCUGGAUGAGGCUCACCGAGGAGUUCCUGAACUCACCUUUACCAAACACAGAUGGAACUAAGACUAAUGUUCACUUCAGUGUCCUGUCACUGCUGCUGCUGUUGUCAGCCUCUCCUUUAAAGACAAGCUUCACUGAGAGACACAGGGUGAAGGACGCUGAACCAGAGGAUUCCUUUGACUGGGGUAAAUAUCUGACGGAAGGCGAGGACGUGGACAUUGGACCAUAUCCAGACACACCUGAGUGGUCUGAGGAGGAGAGCGAGGAUGAUGACAGUCAGCAGCCAAUCAGCAGAGAGGAUUCUGGGAUCCAGUUGGACAGAACGCCACAGGAGGACCAGGACAAUAGCAACAAAGCAGUUCCAGUCACAUGGACAGUCGGUGAACCUGACGCUCGGUCCUGGCUCGAGCAGCACGUAGUGACGCCGUACUGGGUGUCACACGCUCCUCGCUUCCCUCACAGCCUCCACUUACACUCCAACUUACUCAACGUGUGGGAUCAACACUUGUAUAACACUGAUCCUUUGUAUCUGCCGGAAGAAAAAGCCUUUGUCACAGAGACCCAAGUGAUACGGGAGACACUGUGGCUUCUGUCUGGUGUGAAGAAACACUUCAUAUUCCAGCACCACGAUGGGAAAGUGUGUGUGAGGAACAAUGUGGUGGUCACUCAUCUCACCAGUAACUGUCUUCGCUCUGUGCUGGAACACAUCGCCGUGUACGGGCAGGCGGUGUUCAUGCUGCAGACGUUCAUAGACGAGGUAACGGGCCACAGCUCGGAGCCCGGCCCGCCGAGCUCCGGUUCCUCAUACGGCUCCAAGAAAGGUUCUGAUCCUCCCUUCAGGACGUACCAGGCCUUUGUGUGGGCGCUCAACAAGUACUUCACCAGCUUCAAAGAGGAGCUGAUCACCAUCGAGAGGGAGCUCAUACGCAACGAUGACACAGUGACUCUGUGUGCAGUUCUGGAGCGACUCAGCUCUCACCUGGCACAGAUCAAAGUCCUGCACAGAGUGUUCUGCACUGGCGUCGCUGAGGUUCCGCCUGAGACGCCCAACGUGGUGCGAGCUUCGCAUUUACUCAACACCCUGUACAAAGCCAUCAUUGAGUAUGACAGUGCUGGAGAAGCAUCAGAGCAAACAGUGGCACUGUUGUUUUCUCUCUGGACAGAGACGGUCAGACCGUACCUGGAGAUAGUGGACGAAUGGAUUGUUCACGGGCACCUGUUUGACCCCGCAAAAGAGUUCAUCAUCCAAAGGAACAAAGACGUUCCAGUGAACCACAGGGACUUCUGGUACGCCACCUACACCCUGUACAGUGUGUCGGAGACCAACGAGGAGAAGCUGAACGACGCGGCCAGUGGCAGCUCUGGAGGAGAUCCAGGCUCCAGCAACAGCCAGCUCACCAUGGUGUCCUUCCUCAAACCCGUCCUCAAGCAGAUCAUCAUGGCGGGUAAAUCCAUGCAGCUGCUGAAGAACCUGGACUGUAAGGAGGCCGAGCCUUCACAGAGAUCCUCCAGAGAUGCAGAGAGAAAGAGUCUGUACACGCUGUUCUUAGAGUCGGUGCAGUCUCGUCUCUGCAGCCACGAGGAGUCUCCCACAGACGCGGUGACCGAACAACAGGCCACCAGGAGGAGUCUGGUGAAGAUGCACUCCAUCACGGCCCGGCAUCUGGAGAUCGACGACGUCCAUGACCCACUGUUGGCCAUUAACUUUGCCAGACUGUACCUGGAGCAGAGUGAUUUUCACGAGCGCUUCUCUGGUGGUGAUUUCAUCGUGGAUCGCUCGUCUCAGUCGGUCACCUGUCAGACGUUUGAGCUCACGCUGCGCUCGUGUCUCUACCCUCACAUCCAGAGGAGAUACAUCGAGUGCUGUGGAAACCUGAUGACCACGCUCAAGAAGGACUACAAGAUCCUUGAGUUCCUUCAGGCCAUGAGGAACUACUUCCUGCUGGAGGCGGGAGACACCAUGUACGACUUCUACACCUCCAUCUUUGACAAAGUGCAGGAGAAGGAGAGCUGGCAGCAGCUUUCCUUCCUCAACGUACAGCUGCAGGAGGCUGUGAGACAGCGCCACCCAGAGGACAGUAGCAGGUUGUCAGUGUUUUUGGAGAACAUUGACACCUCCAGGAAAAAACAUCCUGUCAAUAACCUGGAGGUUCUGACUCUCAGUUACAAGGUUCCCUGGCCUGUUGACAUCGUGAUCAGCAGCGAGUGCCAGAAAAUCUACAAUCAAGUCUUUCUCCUGCUGCUGCAGAUCAAAUGGGCCAAAUACAGUUUAGACACCAUUCGAUUCAGUGAUCUCACCUCUGCCACGGUGAAACUAGAGGGCGCUGUGUGUGAGGAAGUGAAGAUCAGAGAGUCAGUGAAUCAACAGAUUCACCGCAUGUGUCUGCUGAGAGUCAAACUGAUGCACUUUGUCAACAGUCUGCACAACUACAUCAUGACCAGGAUUCUGCACAGCACAGGUCUGGAGUUUCAGCACCAAGUUCAGGAAGCUAAAGAUCUGGACCAGCUGAUCAAGAUCCAUUAUAGAUAUCUGGCAACAAUCCACGACCGCUGCCUGCUGAGAGAGAAGGUCAGUUUUGUGAAAGAAGCAAUAAUGAAGGUUCUGAACCUGGUUCUGAUUUUCUCUGACCGAUGGCAGGCUGGCUUUGGAGCCUGGAGGAUCGAGUCCAUCGAUAAAAUGGAGUCUGACUUCAAAAACUGUCACAUGUUCCUGGUGACGAUCCUGAAUAAAGCCGUGUGUCGCGGCUCCUUCCCUCACUUGGAGUCUCUGGCUCUGUCUCUGAUGGCAGGGUUUGAACAGUGCUGAGGACCAAGAGCUGUCACUGUGAUGUCACAGUUAUGUCUCUGUGAUGUCACCGAUAUGUCACUGUGAUGUCAUCACCUGCUCUGAUUUAAAAAUGUGCAUACUCUACCAAGUACAAACGGACAGACAUUGUAUUUUAUGUACACCACUCAUCAAGUCAGUGGAGUCAGACGCAGGGUGAUGAGUACCAAUAAAGUUCCCCUCAAAUUGGUGGAACUUCCUAAGAGACAACAACAAGGCAAUCAGAGAUGGCAGACUUCACCCUAUUCACGCAACAAGCCUCUGUCGGCCUAUAUGUGUAACAGACUCGGGGUCAAAAUUCUAAAAAAGUUAUUCUAAAUUCUAACAAGCUUGGCUGACAAGAUAUCCCAGAUGUCUGCCACAAACAUGAUCGUUGUGAUCAAAGAAGAUGGUGCUGUGAGCAAUCACCCAGUAAGCCUGGUGAAAAUGGCCCCCUGCAGUCAUGAGGAAGCUGACACUUGAAUAGGCCAGGCAGGCAGUAGAGGAGGGUUGCCUUUGGCCAAGGCCUGAAUCUGAGGUGGAUUCCCAUCCAUGAACUCUUUUUGUCUAUUGGAUUGCAGAAGAGCAAAGGCAUUCUCCUCUUCCAUGCCUUCACUGGCUGCGAUGUUGUGUCAGCCUUCCAUGGUAAAGGCAAGAAGACUGCAUGGCAAACCUGGGAUGUUUGUCCUGAGGCAAACUCAGCCAGUAUCCACCAACAAUACACGAUGCUGACAUGAAGACAUUGGAAAACUUUGUGGUCAUGAUGUAUGACAGAUCCAGUAUAGCUGAUGGUGUUGAUGAUGCAAGGUUAGACAUGUUUGCUCGGAAGCAGAGGCCAUAAGAAGCAUCCCUCCUACUCAAGCUGCUCUACUCCAACAUGUAUCAGGCAGGUUGCAUAUGGGGUCAAUCAUUAGUCAACCAGAAACAAAGUCCUACUCGCUGGGGAUGGACCAAGAAAGUUGAUCUGUGGCAGAUCUUCUGGACCAAUCUCACCCCUAUUGCAGAAAGUUGCCAAGAACUGACCAAGGGUGGUUGCAAAUUUGAAUGUCAUGGAAGGUGCACAUGCUUAUGCUUUGGUCUUACUUGCACAGUACUGUGUAGCUGUAGAUGUGAAGAUUAAGCUCUGUUCCAUACAUUAGUUAGAGCAUGGUUUAGGUGAUUAUAUAUUCU